rnacentral:ribozyme from 1 species
CCGCAACUGCACGGCCAUUAAACUAAGGAAGAAUAAGAAAAAAAGGAAUAAGGGAAAAAGGGCCAUGCAUUUCA